CGGCGGCCGUGCGUGCACCGGCGGGGGUCGCGCACCUCCCGGAGCCAGCGGCCCGAUGGCCAAGCGGCGCGCGGAGCCCUUGGUGUGUCACGUGCCCGUCAAACGGCUCCUGCGCGAGCCGCCGCUGCCCCGCGCUGCCGCGCCCGAGCGGCGCCCCAGGGCCGAAGGGGCGGGCGCCGGCCCUGCCGCCCCGAAGCGGAAGCUGGAGGAGGCUGACGCGCCGCCGGGCAAGCGGCCCGGGCUGCGGGGGAGCAGCCCCCGCGGCGAGCAGGGAGACGCCGGGGGCAGGCGGUGGCGGCGCGGCGCGGCCGCGGCGCCCCAGGACGAGCGGACGGCGGAGGGACGCGCAGGUAGCCAGGGCAAAGAGCGUGCCGCCAUCGCUGAGCCAGAAGAAGAAUUCUGUCAGUAUAACUCAUUCCUGUAUUGGAGAACACCAUUGCCUGCUAUUGAUUUGUCUGAUAUUCAGAACCUAGAUGGAGAGACUCCAUCAGAAACUAAACCUCCUUCAAGGACUGAUACCAUGGAGACUGAAAUGGAGACCUGAUCAGUUGUUUCAUGGUUGUACAUCUACUCACAGAAAACUUGUUUCGAUUUGGAUUCUUUUUUUUUUUUUUUUUGCUUGGGAGAAAACUAAGCAUGCUUCUGCCUUCUUGAAGAAACAGCGUUAUGUCAGUUGCAAAAGCUGACAAAAAAUUGUCUGAGUGGAUGGGCUAAUCACUAUUGGGUACUGGAUAGUAAGCUGUCUGGAGGUGUAUUGGGGAGGCUAUGAUGUCUAGCAAGAAUGCUUGAAAACAUGGAGGCAGGGUAAAAGACUACAGAAAAUUAGGGUUUUGGAAUGCAGUUAAAUAGGUAUGUUACAUGUGAAGGGAAAUGGAAAAUCAUUUUGCCUGUCCUGAACAAAAAGAUGUAACUGUGGUACCCAAAAGUGAGAUAUUUAUCAUGUGAAAUAAAGCACACAAACUGUAGUGAUUAGAGAUUUUUAAUGUUGUUUGUCUGGUUGCUUGUAUUUUCAUUUUCUUUUUCUUUUCCUUUUUUUUUUGUUGUCGUUGUUGUUGUUGUUUUGUUUGUUGUGGGGUUUUUUUGUCAUCGUUGUUUUUUGUUUUUUGUUACAUGUGUAAUAGCUAAACCAAAAAAUAAGAGCCUACCAAAACUAGACAGAACAUUCCCUUUUCUAUGCAAACCAAAACCAAGUGUGGAAGGGAGGGGAAAGAAAAAGGGGAUCUUUUCUUCUGUAAGCUGCCAGUGUUCUGAAAGUUUUUCAUACUCUCCUUGUGAAAAAGUUUUUUCACCUUCUCCUGUUCAGAUUGCCUGAAGCAGAGGGCAGCCAGCUUUUAGAUUUUUGGUUCAUUCUCAAGUUAAUGCUAUUCUUAUUCUAUAUAAUGUUAGCUCUGAACCAGUCGGUAGCAUCGAAAUGGCAGGUGUGCAUGUCAACAAAAGUGAAUACAAUAUAAAAUUACAACACAGACUUUUUCAAACUUAACUGACUGUGGUGUAGUUUUUGCAGAGACUGUGGAUCUUGCAAAAAAUUUUUACAGAAGUUCACUGAAUUAGUGUUUGGUUUUAUUUCUGUGGAAUAAUAAUUUCAAUGUUUGUCUCCUGUAAUUUAUUUACAAGUUGGAGUACAUUUAGAAAUACUUGUCUUUAAUAAUAGACUGAAGUUGUAUAAGGCAGACUGUCAGACUUUGCAAAUGUGAUCUGUCUUUAAGGAUAGAAAACACUGUAUUUUUUCUGGAGUUACUGAAGAAGGCAACUUGUGAACUUUAUUUUUUUUUUUAAGAAUGUAUUUUUUUUUUUUUUUUUAAUGAUGCUAAAGGAAAAUAAAAUUUUGCCUGUGUGUAUUUGAAAACUUUUGGAAUAUUACUGUGUGAAGUUCCUGAUUUUGUAUCUUAAGAUUGUUGCUUCUGUAACUUUGUCAUUUUGUUAGGUCGUUUUGCUUAAAACAGCUUGUCAGCCUUCUUAGUAAAUAUUUGGAAACUUUUUUUCAGUAUUUGUGCUGUAAGGUGUCUCCGUUUGUUCACGGCUUGUUUAGAUUGUUAGGUUCUCUUAGUACCCACGGAAGAAAGCAGGUGACUUAGUGACUCAAGCCUUUCAUGGUGCUUGUUUAGAUAUGCUCCUACCUGCUGUCAGGUUAGCUGGAUACAUAAUUAAACAAGAUUUAUUUUUCUCACACAUUUUUAAUUAUAUUUUUAAACUCCAAAUACAUCAACUUGUCAUAGGAGGUACUUUAAAAAUGUUUUUUAAAACAAACUCCUUUUCUGGCAAGAAUGCAACUGCUAUUUCACAUUUACUGUAACUAAAAUAAAUUAAUGAGGGAACAGUUUUGUUAAUUCGUUGAGGCGUUGAAUUUGGUUUUGUUUGGUUGUGGUUUUUUACCCUAGGUAAUAUAUGCAUUCUUACGUUUGUGAGAUUUAAGUUUCACACCAUUCAGUAUUCUCAGGAUCCAGUAUUUUGCUAGUAUGAGGUGUCCCUGCCCAUGGCAGGGGGUUUGAACUAAAUGAUCUUAAGAUCCUUCUCAACCCUAACUAUUCUAUGAUUAGUUAGUAUCUUUGCAGAUGUAACUUAGGUCACUCUUAAAUCUUCUCGGAGCUUUAUACACAGUAGGUAUGUCCUAGCAAUAGACUGCAUUUUAAUGCUGAAGUCUGUCUCUUGAGUAUAUUCACAGGACAGAAGCGG
rnacentral:lncRNA from 1 species